GAAUCAAUAGGCACUUAUUUGUGGUGCCAUGUUGAAUUUUUUUCCUUUUUUUUUUAUAUGUUACUCUGUCACAUAUUUAACUGAUAUCAAAGACUAGAUAAGCUAGUUUUCUACAUUUUAGUUAGUGGCAAUUGAAAGGGAAAGGAUUCUCAUCCAUAUGCUUUUGUUUUGCAGGUUUAGCUUUUCAAUUAUUUUUUUUACCCACAGGGAAAAUACAAUGAGCACAUUUGGGCAGAUUGUCCUAAUUAUUUGGCUUUUUGUGGUUCUGAUAAUCAAUUCGACCUAUACCGCAAGCUUGACGUCAAUCCUCACAGUGUAGCUGCUAAGCUCAUCCAUCAAUGGAAUUGAAUCCCUGAUAACCAGCAAUGAUCCUAUAGAGUUCCAGGCAUUUCCCAGAAACUCUCCCUUAGCCAUUGACAUGUCAACUGCAAUUCUUUCAUUGUCGGAGAACGGUGAACUCCAAAAAAUUCAUGACAAGUGGCUGAAGAAAAGUAUAUGUGGUCCUCAGAGCUCUCAAUCAGACCAACUUAACUUGGAGAGUGUUUGGGGUCUUUUCCUCGUAUGUGGAGUUGCAUUUGUUAUCGCUCUGCUUGUAUACUUUUGGCUAAUGUUCUGCAAGUUCAAGCAAAGUUGCCCUGAAAUAUCUGAAUCCUCUAGUUUUGGUAUUUCAUAUUUUGCAUGCUUCUGAAGAUCUCUCCUUUGUUAAUGAGAAGGAAGGGGUCACAAGCAAUAAAUUGAAAAGUAAGCGGACACGAAACAGUACUGUGUGCCAAGGGAAAGAAACUUGACCAAAGAAAUGAGGUCUAGAAGAACUGAAAGGAGUUGUUUACAAGAGGAGUGCUGAAGUGUCGGCAUGUAUAUUUCCUAUAAGCUCACUUUCUUGUAAUGAACUUUUAUUGCAUGUGAUGUCAUCUAUAUAAGGAAAACUAGAUGUUUGGACAUGAUAGAUUGUGAAAUGAAAUUGAAAUAGUGAUAAUUGAAACUUUCUUUGCUUCUAAUU